UUGAUCCUGGCUCAAAACGAACGCUGGCGGCAUGCCUAACACUUGCAAGUCGAACGAGGCCCUUCGGGGUUUAGUGGCGCACGGGUGCGUAACGCGUGGGAAUCUGCCCUUUGGUUCGGAAUAACAGCUGGAAACGGCUGCUAAUACCGGAUGAUGACGAAAGUCCAAAGAUUUAUCGCCAGAGGAUGAGCCCGCGUUGGAUUAGGUAGUUGGUGGGGUAAAGGCCUACCAAGCCGACAAUCCAUAGCUGGUCUGAAAGGAUGAUCAGCCACACUGGGACUGAAACACGGCCCAAACUCCUACGGGAGGCAGCAGUGGGGAAUAUUGGACAAUGGGCGCAAGCCUGAUCCAGCAAUGCCGCGUGAGUGAUGAAGGCCCUAGGGUUGUAAAGCUCUUUUACCCGGGAAGAUAAUGACUGUACCGGGAGAAUAAGCCCCGGCUAACUCCGUG
rnacentral:rRNA from 1 species